GACGAACCGUGCGAACGUUGUUCGGAAUCACUGGGCUUAGAGGGCGCGUAGGCGGUCUGCCAAGUCCGGGGUGAAAGCCCCCAGCUCAACUGGGGAAGUGCCUUGGAUACUGGUGGACUCGAGCGAGGCAGGGGUCGUGGGAACUUCCGGUGGAGCGGUGAAAUGCGUUGAUAUCGGAAGGAACGCCGGUGGCGAAAGCGCACGACUGGUCCUCUUCUGACGCUGAGGCGCGAAAGCCAGGGGAGCAAACGGG
rnacentral:rRNA from 1 species